CCUACGGGGGGCUGCAGUGGGGAAUAUUGGACAAUGGGGGGAAUCCUGAUCCAGCCAUGCCGCGUGUGUGAAGAAGGCCCUCGGGUUGUAAAGCACUUUCAGUGAGGAAGAACGCCUGGUGGUUAAUACCCAUCAGGAAAGACAUCACUCACAGAAGAAGCACCGGCUAACUCCGUGCCAGCAGCCGCGGUAAUACGGAGGGUGCGAGCGUUAAUCGGAAUUACUGGGCGUAAAGCGCGCGUAGGUGGCUUGAUAAGCCGGUUGUGAAAGCCCCGGGCUCAACCUGGGAACGGCAUCCGGAACUGUCAAGCUAGAGUGCAGGAGAGGAAGGUAGAAUUCCCGGUGUAGCGGUGAAAUGCGUAGAGAUCGGGAGGAAUACCAGUGGCGAAGGCGGCCUUCUGGACUGACACUGACACUGAGGUGCGAAAGCGUGGGUAGCAAACAGGAUUAGAUACCCUGGUAGUC
rnacentral:rRNA from 1 species